rnacentral:rRNA from 1 species
UACGAAGGGUGCUAGCGUUGUUCGGAAUCACUGGGCGUAAAGCGCGCGUAGGCGGCUUAACAAGUCAGGGGUGAAAUGCCAGAGCUUAACUCUGGAACUGCCUUUGAAACUGUUAAGCUAGAGUGUCGGAGGGGAUAGCGGAAUUGCUAAUGUAGAGGUGAAAUUCGUAGAUAUUAGCAGGAACACCGGUGGCGAAGGCGGCUAUCUGGACGACAACUGACGCUUAGGCGCGAAAGCGCGGGGAUCAAACAGG